rnacentral:rRNA from 1 species
AUUGAACGCUGGCGGUAGGCCUAACACAUGCAAGUCGAACGGCAGCACAGUAAGAGCUUGCUCUUACGGGUGGCGAGUGGCGGACGGGUGAGGAAUACAUCGGAAUCUACUUGUGCGUGGGGGAGAACGUAGGGAAACUUACGCUAUUACCGCAUACGACCUACGGGGGAAAGCAGGGGAUCUUCGGACCUUGCGCGAUCGAAUGACCCGAUGUCGGAUUAGCUAGUUGGCGGGGUAAAGGCCCACCAAGGCGACGAUCCGUAGCUGGUCUGAGAGGAUGAUCAGCCACACUGGAACUGAGACACGGUCCAGACUCCUACGGGAGGCAGCAGUGGGGAAUAUUGGACAAUGGGCGAAAGCCUGAUCCAGCCAUGCCGCGUGGGUGAAGAAGGCCUUCGGGUUGUAAAGCCCUUUUGUUGGGAAAGAAAAGCAGCAGGUUAAUACCCCGCUGUUCUGACGGUACCCAAAGAAUAAGCACCGGCUAACUUCGUG